rnacentral:misc_RNA from 1 species
GUGGAAGUCGCACAAGCAGGCUACAGAUCCCAAACUGCAAGCUGUAACCUCAAAAAAGAAGAAAUCUCGAAAGUCAGGUUUCAGUAAGAGCAGUACACGUAAUGAGAAGAAUCAGAAAAAUAGUCAUAAUGAUGACACAGAAGCAAGUGGUUUUGUUGGUGUCAUUGGAAAGAGUGAGAAAGUUUUGGAGCUGAAUCUAUGCAAG